rnacentral:rRNA from 1 species
AUUGAACGCUGGCGGCAUGCCUUACACAUGCAAGUCGAACGGCAGCACGGGUGCUUGCACCUGGUGGCGAGUGGCGAACGGGUGAGUAAUACAUCGGAACGUACCUUAUCGUGGGGGAUAACGCAGCGAAAGCUGUGCUAAUACCGCAUACGCCCUGAGGGGGAAAGCGGGGGAUCGAAAGACCUCGCGCGAUUAGAGCGGCCGAUGCCUGAUUAGCUUGUUGGUGGGGGAAAAGCCCACCAAGGCGACGAUCAGUAGCUGGUCUGAGAGGACGAUCAGCCACACUGGGACUGAGACACGGCCCAGACUCCUACGGGAGGCAGCAGUGGGGAAUUUUGGACAAGGGGGGCAACCCUGAUCCAGCAAUGCCGCGUGAGUGAAGAAGGCCUUCGGGUUGUAAAGCUCUUUUGUCAGGGAAGAAACACGGCUCUAACACAGUCCGGGAAUGACGGUACCUGAAGAAUAAGCACCGGCUAACUACGUGCCAGCAGCCGCAGUAA